AAGGAGGAUCCGAGCGUUAUACGGAUUUAUUGGGUUUAAAGGGUGCGUAGGCGGAAUAGCAAGUCAGUGGUGAAAGUUUGCAGCUUAACUGUAAAAUUGCCAUUGAAACUGCUGUUCUUGAGUACAGUAGAGGUAGGCGGAAUGUGUAGUGUAGCGUUGAAAUGCAUAGAUAUUACACAGAGCACCGAUUGCGUAGGCAGCUUACUGGAUUGUAACUGCCUCUGAUACACGUUAGCGUGGUGAUCUAACAG
rnacentral:rRNA from 1 species